rnacentral:lncRNA from 1 species
GUCCUGGCAAACAGAUUAAACGAGGUACUGGGAAAAGUAGUUUCCAAGUUUCAGAAUGCAUUUGUAAAAGGGCAUCAGAUUUUGAACUCUGUGCUUAUAGAAAAUGAAUGCAUAGAUUCAAUAAUGCUCCUACGGGCCCCAAGGAUGCUUCGUAAGCUAGAUAUUCAGAAGGCUUACGACCAUGUGAAUUGGGGUUUCUUGUUAUAUAUGCUCAGGCGCUGUGGCUUUGGGAAUAAAUGGUGUAAAUGGAUUCAAUUCUGUAUUUCUACUGUUUCAUUCUCAGUUUUGGUCAACGGAACACCAGAGGGUUAUUUCCGGAGCAGUAGAGGCUUGAGACAAGAGGAUCCAUUGUUCCCAUUGUUAUUUGUCAUUGUGAUGGAGGCUCUCAGUAGGAUGAUUGAAAGAGCAAUGAGAGCGGGUUUGAAAGGGAUUUUAUGGUUGAUCAAUUGCAGGUGUCUCAUCUGUUAUUUGCAGAUGUCAUGAUGUUAUGUGAUGC